AUGUUAGAAGACCCUCCUGGUCUCCACACUGUGGAGAUGACCCUGCACUUAGUUGGAUCCUACACUCCCCCAAGUUGCAUCCAUCUCUUCCCCUCCUGUCUGGCUCUGCUUCCAGUUUUUGUAUCGCUGACAAAUCGCAAUAAUUGGAUGUUAGUACAAGAGCAUCCCCAGAACUGCAGGGAGAAUGCGCUGAUAAAGUACUGCAGUGGUCCCAGGCACUGCUCCAGCUCCGGCUUUUCUGAACCUGCAGUAACAGAAGAGAGCAAUGAGGAGAGGAAAAGCAAACAUGUAAUUGCUCCCAAGGGGAUAGGAAAGCCUUCCAAAGGUGCCUUUGUGUGA
rnacentral:lncRNA from 1 species